rnacentral:rRNA from 1 species
GACGAACGCUGGCGGCGUGCUUAACACAUGCAAGUCGAACGGAAAGGCCCUGCUUUUGUGGGGUGCUCGAGUGGCGAACGGGUGAGUAACACGUGAGUAACCUGCCCUUGACUUCGGGAUAACUUCAGGAAACUGGGGCUAAUACCGGAUAGGAGCUCCUGCUGCAUGGUGGGGGUUGGAAAGUUUCGGCGGUUGGGGAUGUACUCGCGGCUUAUCAGCUUGUUGGUGGGGUAGUGGCUUACCAAGGCUUUGACGGGUAGCCGGCCUGAGAGGGUGACCGGCCACAUUGGGACUGAGAUACGGCCCAGACUCCUACGGGAGGCAGCAGUGGGGAAUAUUGCACAAUGGGCGGAAGCCUGAUGCAGCAACGCCGCGUGCGGGAUGACGGCCUUCGGGUUGUAAACCGCUUUCGCCUGUGACGAAGCGUGAGUGACGGUAAUGGGUAAAGAAGCACCGGCUAACUACGUG